UCAAGUGAUAUGAUUUCUUUUAUAUUUUGUAUAGCACUGUAUAAAUCAGUCAUCCAAUAUCCAUUUCUUUCCAGUUACAGAAUUAAGAGCCACAGGUAUUUCCUCACAGAAUACCCAGCCAAUUACAGUCAGUGUGAUUUUAGUGAUUCUACUGACUGUGAUCCUUGUUGCAGGAUACAUAUUCUGCAGAGAUUUUCAUCAUCCGUAUAGAAAAGUGUUUGUGCAUUCAAACCAGUCAUCCAAAAGAACGUCUGUGGACAUACAAGGAGCCUCUUCCCCCUGAAGGUUUUACCAUCAACAUGGAGCUAAGCAAAGAUUUUGCUACACAUCCCUGUGAAAUGAAGAAAAGUUUACCCUGAGCUGCUUCUAUGAAAAGAAGGCUUAGAACAUUGAGCAGAUAUCCUACUAUUUAUUGGAGCAGACAUUGCCCAAGAUUAUGGGUGCAACAGUUAUUCUAGUUUUAUCAGGAGCACACAUAGAAAAGCUUCAAUAUUCAUUUAUGAAAAAAUGGAAAGACAAAUAAGCUUGAGACUAGAUAUUUUGUUGUUAUACUCUUGAGAAUGGACCAACUUUUUAUUUUCAGGUCUAAACAUAUAAAGGUGCAGAUAAAUCCAGAUGUAGCUAAUUAUUCAACUAGUAUACUCUGAAUUAAAUGUAUUAUAGUGGUGCUUGCAGCUGUAGAACACAUUGAGUGUUUUUCACCUUUUGUCCUUAGAUUAGUGAUUACUUGUUGCUUGUUGGUAGCUGUGGAGUUAAGAAACCUUUUUUUUGAAUUCGUCCAUGAAUCUUAAGUGUUGAUGUAAAUCUGAGUCUAGAUUCUGCAUGGAUUGGCAUAUCUUUGCCUAGUACAGAGAAUUGGGGAGUUUUAUUUUACUUGCACGAAGCCAAUUGCAUAUUUUCUCAUUCUCUAAAGUAUUAAUGACAUAAAUGGCAGUGUAAAAUAUGUUUAAGAUGCUCGGGUAUGGUUCCACUCUUCUGUCAAGUUGUACCAAUUGUAAAAACUUGGAGUAGCAAUUCUAUACUUCUGUAUAAGUAUUUUGUAAAUACCUUUGUGACAAUCUAUUCAGAAAAAUAAACUGGCCAGUGUACAAUGCUGAAAUGAAAAUAUUUUAGGCUGUGACUUAAUUCAAGACCAAAAUAAUUGAGCUGAGAUAUAUUAAAUAUGUAUCCAUCAAUAUUUGUCUCCACUAGAUAGUUUGAAAUAUCUAUCAAAAGCAACUUGUACAAUGAUGUGUUUGCUAAUGUGUUGAUAUUGAAAUGAUAUUAUUGAAGAUGUACUGUUUGGUAUUAUAGUAUAUUUUAUCUAAACGCUGUUUUAUUUUAGGAAUUUUCUUAUUCAAUGUUACAACAUAAAUUAAAACCAGUAUUAGUGAAUCAACAGCUAGAAACUGUGCAGUUUACAAGUGUAUUUUGAAAUCUGUUAUUUUUUUACAAUUAUGUUUACUGGUAGAACUUAUAGUCUCUUCUUUGAAUCCUCUGGCUGAGAAACAGGUUUAUAAAAGUUCUUGAGUGAAACAACACAAAAUCUAUGGAAUGACAAAAAGAUUGAAUGUAAUUUGUCAAAUAUCAAACUGAUUUUUCGUAGGCACAGAAUAUUAUAAUGUCUAAGUGGAUUUGGUUUCACUGAAUAUCCUGUUGUGCUCAUGGUCACUGAAGUAUUUGCUCUGUAUGUAUACAUAAACUGACUCAUUGACUCAUUCUAUAUAAUUAAAAUGCAUCUCACAAUUUUCUACAUGUAUGAAUUACAACUCCAUCACAAUUUAAAAAAAAAUUUAAAAAAUCUUAUUUA